rnacentral:sRNA from 1 species
UUUCUUCCUUGUGGAAUAAAUGUGCUUUCAAAAUUAUUUGGAAAUAUUAUCUUCCUUGUGGAACACAACUAUUAUUUGUGUUCCUUAUUCACUUUCUUCUUACACUUUGGUCUCAUUCUUAGUUUUGGAUUUUAAUUUUGUGUAGCCCAUUGUUUAUAACUUGUACACCUCGGGUUGAGUAGUCUGCACUUUUCAAAAUGUGUAACUUUACGCUUUCUAAGUAGAGGAUUUAAGCUCAUGAUUUGUCCUUAUGCAUUAGUCCUAAAAAAAGUCAGCUGAUCAUUCUUCGUUUUUUUUAAGGUCUCUUUUUUAUUGUGCAUGGUGAAAUAUGGUUCAGCAAUUAUUUAACCUGUUGUGCUAUGAUAAUAGUCAUAUGUAUGUUUGACUAAUUAUAAGCUUUGGAUUGUUUGGUGUAAUUUAAUGAAAUCAUUAGUGCCAUAUUUGUUUGUAGGUGACUCAUGCAAAGAUCUCUUACAUAACUAGUUUUGUGGCACUGGAUUGUUUUUCCUUGAGCUUAUCAUUAUUGAUAAUGGAAGGCAAAUUCUACUCUAUAAUAAUUUUCCUCGAAAGUGUAAUUUGUUGUCCUAUUUUAAUUGCUCAUGCGUGUUAUAUUCUGUUGGAUAGUUGAUUUUAGCAUUUACAAUGGUUCCUAAACCAAAGUUUUUGAUUUUGUGGCAUAUCGUUUCCAGCAGAGAGGCCAUUAUACACGAUUGGUUGAAAAUUUGCUGAUGUUUGUUCUCUUCAUUUUUAGGGUGUUGGUUUGAUUGGAAUAUAUAGAAUUUCAUCAUUGUGACCGUAUUCUCAAAUAAGAAGAGUUGAAUUUAAAACUCUGUAGUUGGUCCUGUGCAUUGUUCAUGCUUCAGGUCCAAAAAGCAUUUUGCUUGAGGAAUGUGUUAGGGAUGAUGCAAAAUCAUUUCUGUGCCUUGCCCAACAAUUUGGAUUUAAACUUUUAAGAUGGUGCAUACAGACGAAACAGAAGUUUAUUCAAUCAGAAAGGGAUACUUCUCUGAGAGAUGUAAGAGCAAGUUCUGGAAUCUGAGAGGGUUGGGAACAGUAAUAAAGUGCUAAGUUAUGAUUAAUUGGCGUGAACCAUCAGAUUUCUAAAUGUGGAAUAGACUUGAAGGUUUGGCGCAUAAAAUGAAUGUUUUGAAG